AACGAACGCUGGCGGCAGGCCUAACACAUGCAAGUCGAACGCUCGUAGCAAUACGAGAGUGGCAGACGGGUGAGUAACACGUGGGAACCUUCCCUAUGGUUCGGAAUAGCCCAGGGAAACUUGGGGUAAUACCGGAUAAGCCCUUCGGGGGAAAGGAUUUAUCGCCAUUGGAUGGGCCCGCGUCGGAUUAGCUAGUUGGUGAGGUAACGGCUCACCAAGGCGACGAUCCGUAGCUGGUCUGAGAGGAUGAUCAGCCACACUGGGACUGAGACACGGCCCAGACUCCUACGGGAGGCAGCAGUGGGGAAUAUUGGACAAUGGGCGGCAAGCCUGAUCCAGCCAUGCCGCGUGAGUGACGAAGGCCUUAGGGUUGUAAAGCUCUUUUGGUCGGGGAGGAUAAUGACGGUACCCGCAGAAUAAGCUCCGGCUAACUUCGUGCCAGCCGCCGCCGUAAG
rnacentral:rRNA from 1 species